UGGGUGUGGCCAGACCAACCUGAACGGGUUGUGGUACAGUGGGGGCGUGUACCGCAGCAAGUUCCAGGAUGGCAUCUUCUGGGCCGAGUACGGAGGAGGCUUCUACUCUCUCAAGGCUACACGCAUGAUGAUCAGACCCAUCGACUGAGCUGGGAGCUCUCCUCACCCUCCAGCCCUCCCCUCACCCUCCAGCCCUCCCCUCACCCUCCAACCCUCCCAUCAACCCACCCCUCCCCUCACCCUCCAACAUACACAUACAUGUCAAACUGUUUAACAGGAGAGAUCUCCCAGGAGGCUGGGUGGAGGAGGAGGAGGAAGGCUGUGGUGUGUAAAUAUGAUGAGCUGUAUGUGUUAAUUUAUAGAAGAUCCUGCUCAGGCAUGUGAAACCGUCAACAAGGUCCCUGUGUGAGAGGGUUAACUGUGCUUCAUGCAACAAGGUCCCUGUGUGAGAGGGUUAACUGUGCUUCAUGCAACAAGGUCCCUGUGUGAGAGGGUUAACUGUGCUUCAUGCAACAAGGUCCCUGUGUGAGAGGGUUAACUGUGCUUCAUGCAACAAGGUCCCUGUGUGAGAGGGUUAACUGUGCUUCAUGCAACAAGGUCCCUGUGUGAGAGGGUUAACUGUGCUUCACGCAACAAGGUCCCUGUGUGAGAGGGUUAACUGUGCUUCAUGCAACAAGGUCCCUGUGUGAGAGGGUUAACUGUGCUUCACGCAACAAGGUCCCUGUGUGAGAGGGUUAACUGUGCUUCACGCAACAAGGUCCCUGUGUGAGAGGGUUAACUGUGCUUCACGCAACAAGGUCCCUGUGUGAGAGGGUUAACUGUGCUCACGCACAAGGUCCCUGUGUGAGAGGGUUAACUGUGCUUCACGCAACAAGGUCCCUGUGUGAGAGGGUUAACUGUGCUUCACGCUUGAUGAAUGCUGACUGCAGGCUAGUUCUUGUUCCACACGGUAUGUAAGAUAAUGUGUUUCAUUUUUCGUCUCAUUCAAGAAAAAAAUCCAAGAGCGUCUGUUGUUGAAGAGGAGAUGCAGAGAAAAUGACAAAUAUGCAUUUAUAGUUAUUUAACACUGUAUAGUCACAUCCAGCUCUAUUUAUCCUGAUCUGGUCACACUCACACACACACACACACACACAAACAUGGACGAACGUCAAGCUGACAGGAGGUGAACCAGUCUCAAUGCAACUCCAAAUAAACCAUGUGUAAAUACUGCCUUCUCUAAUGCCUGGUCAUUCACUGCACCCCUGAACAUCCCUCUGCUCCAGGGAGGAGAAGAGAGGAGACAGGAGGAGGAGAAAGGAGAGGAGGAACGGAGGAGAGCAGGGCUGAGGAGAGAUCAGCUCCUUCUCUGCAGCUAACUCCAUUGCGUCAUUCUAGACGUAGAUAAAAGAGAUGAUGUCACUAAAUAAGAAACACAUUUCUAAUGAUGGUAGAGAACACAUACAGGAUGAUUGUGUGCAUGUGAGAGGAGAGAGAAGGAUGCUUCCACUGGGGUGAGAAAUGAAAGGAUGGAGAAAGAGAGGAGGAGAAGAAAGAGAGGAGGAG